AGAUAUCCACAUGGGUGUUGUCCAGGCUAUGAAUGGAAUAUUGAACCUGAAAACUACACAGAAUGUGAAAUUGGUUAUUCUGGCAUCAACUGUUCGAAACCUUGCGUCUUUCCAAGCUAUGGUAUGAAAUAUAAACAGGAGUGCAGUUGUUCUGAGGAUGAGUGUAACUUUAUACUCGGAUGUACAGAGGUCUCUAUUUUAAGUCUCCCGUUGGAGGGAAGCACCUUAGCGUAUAUCCGCAUGGGUGCUGUCCAGGUUAUGAAUGGAAUACCAAGACUGAAAACUGCACAGAAUGUAAUAUUGGUUAUGCUGGCACCAACUGUUCGAAACCUUGCAUCUUUCCAAGCUAUGGUAUGAAAUGUAGACAGGAGUGCAGUUGUCCUGAGGAUGAGUGUAACUUUAUACUCGGAUGUACACAUGUCUCUACUUUCAGCUUCCUUUUUAAAGGAAGCACAUUGG